UUCACACACGUGCUUGAUGUUUUGCCAAUACAGAAUGCUUAAGUUUCUAUCUAGGUCCACGAAAACCGAGCGGAAAACCCCCAAACGCAACGCUGCGACAAGGGAGAAAACCUAGCACGUGCCUUAGCCGCCACAGUUAGUUUUAGCUUCUCGUAUCUCUCAUUCUCUCCGGUCUUCCUGUCUCCCAUGUUUUCCUCCACAUCGUAAGGAUGAUGAGGUCAGAUUAUCCUCGGUUACGUUGACAAGACAGUGGCGCUACACAUUUUUAGGCUUUUGUUCCUCAGGAUCGAACCUCAUCUCGACAGCGCUCCCUCCGACAUCGAGACGAAUUUUAAAGGGGUCUUAUGCAACGGAAUUGCUAGUCCUCAGUCGCCUGAAAAUUGAUAUUUCACUACAACAAAACAGACGUGUAGGGACGUUUUAAUUUUGACGCUUUUAUUUUCGUCUAUACGUGGAUAAUCAUACGGUGUGUAGGGACGUUGCUUGAGACGCAUACAAAAUCGUCGCACGUCCACCCCUGCUGCAGCCACCCUUUGCCUUUAUCUCCAAUUUCUUUAAUAAGAAAUCUCAUCUCUAAUUGCUCGACCAUCUCUCUCCCUGGGAAAAACCUAGCGCCGCCAUCUACCGCUGGCUCCGUCCUCCCUUCCAUCCAUGAUCCACCGGCGGAGCUCCUCGCUCUCCCGGGCCGCGGCCUACGGCUAUGAUCCCGUCGCCUGCUGCCUGCCUCUUUUCCCCGGCGUGGAUGGCUUCUCUCUGCGAGAUCCAACUUCCUGAAGGCCGUCUUCAACAGCGAACUUGUGUGUUGCCUAGCGGAAGAGUGAAGAAGAUCCUAGUAGUCGUAGACCUCUCUCCACACCCCCAUACAAUCUUCCGUAGUACCUGGACUAAUUUGUGUGUGGAAAGUAAUCUGACUUUUUUUGUUUCUGUUCUUUCGGUGCCCGCUUGUAAUUAGUAAGAAGUACUACUUCUAUGUAGUUUUCUGAACUCCCAUCUCUCUAUCGACCACUAUGGACUCAAUUUUGCAUUGAUCUUACAGAUUACUUUCUCUGUUAUUUCUUCUAAAUUAUCAAUCCUCACAUCUGCAAGGUGCUUGAUAAUAUGCCUCUGUGAUAUUACCCUCCUGAAGCAAGAUGGCAAAUGUUCUUGAUUAAUAUUUCCUCUUGUAUUUUCCAUGAACUGAACAAUUGUAUGAAGGUGCGUUUUUUUCAUGCAAUUAAAAUUAUUAUGCUCACGUGUUCUGAUAGGAAUCUGAAUUAAACUAGCAGAUGCAUUAUCUCACCAAAUGAAACUUUGCUCUUGUCGCCUGAUAGACAGCACCAUAUGUCAAUAGUUAUUUACUGGAUUUUUUAUAUACCCAGUGAGUUAAUUUAUUAGUCAUUUGUCAUCCUUUGCAGAAUUUUUCUGGGCGAGGAUUUUGUCUAAGAAGCACAAUCAAGGCUACAGGAAAUUCAGAGAAGCGGAGAAGACAGGGGAGCUGAUGUACAGUUAUCUGCAUGUAGAAACUACGAAGUUUCAACUAAUUAGAAUUUUUUUCUAGUGUGCAUACAUGUUGUACCACUCAGCUGUAAAUAUACUAUCAUCACUAUUGGUAAUAUAAUGUAUAAUGUUAUAGCCCCUU